rnacentral:rRNA from 1 species
GUCAGCAGCCAUAUCACCCUGCAGCCCAAGACUGGUUGCCCACUGAAGCUAAGCAGAGUUGAGCUGGUCAUUACCUGGAUGAGAGACCUCCUGGGAAAACUAGGUUGCUGCUGGAA